rnacentral:rRNA from 1 species
UACGUAGGGUGCAAGCGUUGUCCGGAAUUAUUGGGCGUAAAGAGCUCGUAGGCGGCUUGUCACGUCGGCUGUGAAAACCUGGGGCUCAACCUCGGGCCUGCAGUCGAUACGGGCAGACUAGAGUUCGGUAGGGGAGACUGGAAUUCCUGGUGCAGCGGUGAAAUGCGCAGAUAUCAGGAGGAACACCGGUGGCGAAGGCGGGUCUCUGGGCCGAAACUGACGCUGAGGAGCGAAAGCGUGGGGAGCGAACAGG